AGCUUUUCAGAGUGGCAGUAUCAUAGUCAAUGAAGAUGACCUGAGGCACAAUUAUUGCUAAUUGGACAUAGAAACCACCUUCACUCAUAUAUAAAAAUUAUUAUGUGCUAUACUAGAUAUUUCAGGAGAAUUGAUAAAAGA
rfam:Pan troglodytes isolate Yerkes chimp pedigree #C0471 (Clint) chromosome 5, whole genome shotgun sequence.